rnacentral:lncRNA from 1 species
GGGGGACCUCCUUCCCCCACCUUCGCCCCGCCCCAUCCCUCCUGGAGGGUGCCCCAGUGACUUUGGGGAGCCCGGGGCUACUUCUGGUUUUUGGGGUGAGGGUCGGAGAGGGGCACGUGCCCUGAGCCUCCCCUGCCCUCGCAAAAUAGGAGGGGAGCAGAACUCCCACUGCUCGGCCCCUCCCACCUACCCCUCCUUCCCCCUGGCGUCCUCAGACUCAGAGGAGGGAGAGAGCCCUCCCCUCCGGGACCAUGUUUUCCAUUAACUGAGCUUGGGGGAGGGGGCGCUACAGCUCCCAGGCUCUCACCGGGGAGGGAUCGUUCUUGGGGGACCCCGCAGAGUUAACCCUCUCCUACCCGGGCAUGAGCCUGGCUACCCCCGAGGCAGCUCCCCCCUGGCAGGAGAAUGAAGGACGUGGGAGUCAUGGAAGAAGCCAUGCUAACCCUGCAGCACUCCCAAGACACUGGCAUGCAGCCCACAAGCCCCCGAUGGUGUCGCUGACCCCGUCUAACAAGCCUGAAGAUGCCGUGCAGGCUUCUUGGCAGUGGAAGGAUCCCAGGCUCAGUCUGGACACACCCCAGAGAGCUUUGUUCAGACCUGACUCUGUUUGUUGAGAAUCUCACCCCUGCUCUGGUCAGGAUGCCUUCCCAGGACCUCAAAGCAUCCUCCAUUUCCAAGCAAAAACAAGUCUCCGAACCGAAGUCAGACCACGGUUCUAGCCCUUGUCACCUCUGUCCUGCACUAUGUGCAAUAAAUAGCCUCCCUGCCUCUGGUCUCUCUGCUCUCCCAUCCAUCCUCUCUGCACAGCUUCCAAAUUGGUAUUCUUGAGGCACGGUUCUGAGCAGAUCACUCUCUUCUAACUCUUGAAGCUCCAGGAGCUCCCCAUUGCCCUGAAGACCAAACACAAACUCUUCUGUUUGGCAUUUAAAAUCCUUCAUGAUGUAAAUGUAAAGCCGUAUAUCAGAUUGUUCAGCGUCUUGGGGAAGGUGGGGGGGGAGGAAGGGGGAGAAAAACUUUCACCUCAAAAGCAUAUGGAAGUGAUUGUUGAUAAAUCAAAAUAAAUUAAUAAAAUUUUAAAAAAUAAAAUCCUUC